rnacentral:lncRNA from 1 species
UUUACGACUUUGGUGUCACUGAGAAGAUGACAUACUCAAUUAUUUUCCAAAUUAUGGCGUUGGUUGUCAAUUGAAACUUCCUAUUAUUUCUUUACGACUUGGGCGUCACUGAGAAGACGACAUACUCAAUUAUUGCACCCUUUUUAUCUUUCUGUUUUUGGAAACUUGCUGUUGUUGCUUUACGACUUGAGUGUCACUAAGAAGACGACAUACUCCAUUAUUGCACCUUUUUUGUCUUUCUUUUUUUGGAAAUAUGUUUAAGGGGAGG